UACGGAGGGGGCUAGCGUUGUUCGGAAUUACUGGGCGUAAAGCGCACGUAGGCGGCUUUGUAAGUUAGAGGUGAAAGCCCGGGGCUCAACUCCGGAAUUGCCUUUAAGACUGCAUCGCUAGAAUUGUGGAGAGGUAAGUGGAAUUCCGAGUGUAGAGGUGAAAUUCGUAGAUAUUCGGAAGAACACCAGUGGCGAAGGCGGCAUACUGGACCGGCAUUGACGCUGAGGAGCGAAAGCUAGGGGAGCAAACGGG
rnacentral:rRNA from 1 species